rnacentral:tRNA from 1 species
GCCGGAGUGGCGGAACUGGCAGACGCGCCAGACUCAAAAUCUGGUGAUGGUAACAUCGUGUGAGUUCGAUUCUCUCCUCCGGCACCA